rnacentral:rRNA from 1 species
UGAGGAAUAUUGGUCAAUGGACGCAAGUCUGAACCAGCCAUGCCGCGUGAAGGAUGAAGGCCUUCUGGGUUGUAAACUUCUUUUACCGGGGAAGAAAACUAUGGUUUCUACUAUAGCCGACGGUACCCGAGGAAUAAGCACCGGCUAACUCCGUGCCAGCAGCCGCGGUAAUACGGAGGGUGCAAGCGUUAUCCGGAUUCACUGGGUUUAAAGGGUGUGUAGGCGGACAGUUAAGUCAGCGGUGAAAUCUCCGGGCUCAACCCGGAAACUGCCAUUGAUACUAUCUGUCUUGAAUAUUGUUGAGGUGGGCGGAAUAUGUCAUGUAGCGGUGAAAUGCAUAGAUAUGACAUAGAACACCGAUUGCGAAGGCAGCUCACUAAACAAUGAUUGACGCUGAGGCACGAAAGCGUGGGGAUCAAACAG